GACGAACGCUGGCGGCAGGCUUAACACAUGCAAGUCGAACGCAUCCUUCGGGGUGAGUGGCAGACGGGUGAGUAACACGUGGGAACAUACCUUUUGGUUCGGAAUAACUCAUGGAAACGUGAGCUAAUACCGGAUACGCCCUUUUGGGGAAAGAUUUAUUGCCGAAAGAUUGGCCCGCGUCUGAUUAGCUAGUUGGUGAGGUAAUGGCUCACCAAGGCGACGAUCAGUAGCUGGUCUGAGAGGAUGAUCAGCCACACUGGGACUGAGACACGGCCCAGACUCCUACGGGAGGCAGCAGUGGGGAAUAUUGGACAAUGGGCGCAAGCCUGAUCCAGCCAUGCCGCGUGAGUGAUGAAGGCCUUAGGGUUGUAAAGCUCUUUUAUCCGGGAAGAUAAUGACUGUACCGGAAGAAUAAGCCCCGGCUAACUUCGUGCCAGCCGCCGCUGUAA
rnacentral:rRNA from 1 species